rfam:Xanthomonas oryzae pv. oryzae KACC10331, complete genome.
AUGUACUUACUCGUGCACUCCGGUUCUGAGCGCGCCGUCCGCGCCCACCUGACAGCUCUCGCUACGUUUUGUUAGCC